rnacentral:rRNA from 1 species
GGAAGAUUAAUACCGCAUAAGAUUGUAGUAUCGCAUGAUAUAGCAAUUAAAGGAGCAAUCCGCUAUAAGAUGGACCCGCGUCGCAUUAGCUAGUUGGUGAGGUAAUGGCUCACCAAGGCGACGAUGCGUAGCCGACCUGAGAGGGUGAUCGGCCACAUUGGGACUGAGACACGGCCCAGACUCCUACGGGAGGCAGCAUG